GUGGCGCGGCGAUUUUCCUGUUGGAAAGAUACCGCGUCUGUGGCGGGGCCGAUCUCGAUGUCCCGGAAAAACCUCGAUCUUAAGUAGUUCUAGAGAGAGGACCGGUCGUGACCAAACGCGAUCCAUCUGUCAAGAUCAUUGGAACAAGCACAGCUUUAUUUAGACCCGUGAGUACAAUGACACCGGCCAGUCGCGAUUAACUACAUCUAUAUAGUGGAGUUUCACGGUGUUCGAGUAAUAACGAAAAUAAUUCUUUUUCGCUCUCGACGAAAAACUCUUCGGAUACAUUUUGAACAUUUUUUGCAAAUAUAUCGAUGCGAGCGUUCCAACGACUUUUGAUCUGCAACUAUAAUUUUUACUCGAUGCUCGAAAUAGAAAGCGUAAGUCAUUCGGUUCGCCUUUUUUAACUAGCUUCAAACUAGCUGCACAAAUCUGUAUAUUUCGACGUAAAAGUUCAGCCUGUAUCCAAAUGUGAAACGGUGAUGGUAAGUUUCAAGUGAUACGCUUUGAUGGAAGAUCAACGAAGAAAUCAGAGCUAUUCCAUUAAUCUCGUCUCACUCUCGUUGCGGAGUAUCGGCCCGUGCAUGAUGAGCUAAAUGCGCGAACCAACUGUUUCGAUGCAAACACCAGGCCGCGCCAUUCAGUUAUUUAUCCAAAGGGGGAGAGAGAGAAAGAGAGAUAGAGUGGAAAAAAUGUUCGGAAAGUAAAUGGCGAAUGCUAUUUAUAGGAGACGAAGGAGAUGAAUGCGUUCCAACCUCUCAACGAAGUUGUUCGAACGUGUGAAACGACGAUGACGCCCAAUGAAACGAAAUCGACCGAUUUUCAGCUUCGUUUUUUCCUUCCGUUUCUUCGGGGAAAUUAUCAUCGAGCAGUUUGUUUCAAACAAUUCAGAAGAGAAACUUCCUUGUCGAAUUAAGGAAUCGUAAGAGAAGGUUACUUAAAUUCCAUUACGACACCUAGAUAAAAGUAGAAAAUCGAUUUUUCUCGAAUAAAUUUCACUACGUUGAGGAGAUGAGGAACGAAGAGAUCACAAUUUCGUGGGCUUGAAAAGAAUAUUUUAGAAACUAAAAUUCUUCAAACUGACGUUCAUGGGCUUUUUAAAUUCGACAAGUUUACACACGUGCGUGUGUAAAUCCGUUUUUCUCGGAACACCGUUUCGAAAAAUGCGCGAGAAAGAAAGGUUGGGAGAACGUUUGAGUCGAGAACCGAUCUUGCGUGAUCGGAAAUAGGAAUAUGCUUAUUUUCACGCUCGCGAUAAUCGACUCGAGUUCGAAAUUCGAUAAAUCAUAGAACUCGUGCAAGCGAUUUUUGCCAACUGUCAGCAUUACUUUCACUUUGAAAUGGAAGUACGCGUUUCCUAGUUUCGCGAAAGCUGCACAACAGAUCCCUACGAAUCCGAUGACCCAGAUUGCACUCCAGCUACUCAGAACCGAACUCGGUUCGUUCGCGAGGUAUUGAAAUCCAAAGUAUCCAACUAAUCGAACUUCAACUUUUCUCCUCUUCGAUCAACAGUAAUUUUCAUCGUCUUGUUUUCGCCUAUAUAUACUUUUUAUAUCCAUUUCUUCGGUUGCUGUCCAUUUGCAGAUAAGAAUUUUUCUUUUUUCUUUUUUUUCUUGUAUCGAGUUUAUUUCUUAUAUUGAGUUUAACGUCGACUAGUAGUAGAUCGUCGAUUACCAGCAGUAGAUUCUUUAGAAUAACCUUAUUGCCAAUCUUGGAAUAUUAGAGCCGGGAGAAAGUUAUUCAACUUAUACUUCGUCUUUUGAUUUUGGAAUUUCUUGCAUGCAAAUAGAAAGUGAUUUGUUGUUUGAUUGCACAAGAUUUCUUUUUGCUAAGAAACGUUGAUCUUAAUAACUGUUCAUUUCUAGAUUCUAGAUAGUAUUUAUUGUGAGUAAAUAUAUUGGUUGAAAUUCUGUUUUUUUUUUAACAUCUCUAAAAUUGAUAAAAAUGAAUCUACAUCCUUCUUGCUUUCAGGAUCGUGAAUUGCACGUGAUUUUAUAUAAACAGUGUUACUUUGAUGUAUCAAUGGGUGCGAUACAACGUUGUAAAUCGCUCCUGGAGAAGCACACAUAGAUGCACCGUGAUUGAAUACAUUUUGCAAACCGCAUUCGCUCGAAUUAACACGAUUCUCUGAGUCACUGUUGCACGACUAUUUCUGGAAUGUAUAAUAAUACACCAGUGACCAAUUUGUGGAUCGUACAGUCUGUGGAAGGAAUAUAACGAGGAGGAAUGCAGAGUCGGUCAGGCAUCAAAGUUUGCGUACGAAGUUUGAGAGAAAUUGGAGAGAACACGAGAGACCAAAGUUGCGCGAGAUUCUACACGAGAAAAAUCAUUUUUCGGGAUGAUAAGGAAUAAAAGGAUCAAGUUUUUAGGAAGAGAAUGUUUCCAUAGUCCCCAAGGACGAAUCGCUUCAUUCCAAGUCACCGGUAGUGGCGUAAUUAAACGGAUAAUUACGAUCGCGCGACGCGAUUCCUGGAGAUCCAGCCUCGUUUUACCGUGCAAUAAAUAAGCUUGCGUACAGGAAACGACGCCAUAUUCGUCAUAGCGUCGCAGCUCGGGAAUAGCUUUCGUAUAUAAUGUCGUCUGCACGGCUAUCCGUGCACGUGAACUGCGUAAAUACCAUGUACAAGAAUUUUCAGUGAACAAACUGAAGACAACUUCAUGUUUUGUUUACAGAAGAGUGAUGAUAAGUAUUUUUUGAAAAAAAUCGAUUAUAUGUUAUUUUGAUUUCUCAUUUGUUACUAUUAGAAUACAGUUACUAGAAGUUACAAAUUAUCAAAAGAAUUGAUGAGAAUCUGAUAGUCUAAAAAGAAAAUUAUUAUGCAACGUAUGAAAUAGUGAAAUAGAUUCUUCGUCAUCAAAUGCAUAAUAAUUUAUAAACGUAUCAGGAUUUUUCACAAUACGUAUGUGAAUAAUGAAAAUAACUAAGCUUCGACGUAGGUUAUUGAUGACCAACGUGUUAAAGAAUGCGAAUACAUUAUUUGAAUAAAUUUAAUUAUCUCUUUUUCGUAAAUUAUUUUUACGAAUAGCAUUUUAUUUUUUAUUUUUUUUAGAUAUUUUUAUAAUAAUAAUUUAAAUAAUUAUAUAACGUGAUAAAUUUGAACAAUUUAAAAGGAGAAAAUUGAUCAAUUCAAAGAGAUCUAACAAAAAAUUCAAUUUUUAAUUAUAUAUAAUAAGUUAUAAGUUUAACUUAUUUUGACUCACUGAAACAAUUAUUAUAGUAAAAAAAUGAAUUCUUCAUGCUAAAUAUAUCUUUUUUAACAAUUUUUUAUGAGAUAUUGUUGUGAGCAUUAAAGAUUAAUUAGUCACAGUUCUUAAUUUAAAAUACUGAAUUUCAUGCUUUGAUUCACAAAACGAUAUAAGGAAAAAUUUUAAAAUAACAAAAGAGUUGAAAAGCAUUCUUUCAUAUUAAAAAAAAAAAAUCAAUAAUAAAUAUAUCAGUUAUAUCAAUAAAUAGUAUUUUACAAAAUUUUAAAUAAAAAUGAACAAUGUAUUAAAAUAUUUUAAUAAAAAUGUAUGGUUCUUGAAACAAA